CCAAAAAUAGAGUGUAUAUUUUACACUUUAUUCAUCAAAAAUGUAAACAAACUUUUUUUGAAAUUUUAGUAUAGGAAAAAAAAAAUUUAAUUAUGAUAAAGCAGUAAAAGUAAACUAGACCAGCAUAGACCAAAGUCUCUACUUUUCCACUAAGGUUGGACUCGACUCAGGUCGGAAACUAGACCGAGGAAGUGGACCAGGUAGUGGACCGGUCCAGCGAGCCGCGACCUUGCCCGAGCCGUGACGCUCCCGGUCCCGGUCCGGUUUGAACCGGUCCACCUCCUCCUCUCUCCUCCUCCUCCUCCUCUCCACAUUAACCCUAGCGGUGGCGCCGUAUCUCUUCCCCAUGACCGCGAUCGCACUGUCCCCUCCUCCUCAAAUGUGUGAAAUUGAUCCGACCUUUUCUUCUUUUUCGUCGGAGAUUCUGAAUCCUUGUUCCAUAUCCUGCAUUACAAAGAGUAAACAUGGCUAGGUGAUGUAACAGAAACUCGGGAAGGGCGACGGCGGACGAGAAAUCGAAAUGAGCACCUUGUGAAGCCGAGUGAGAGAGGACGAUGGCGGAGAGGAGAAGGAGAGCGAGGAAGCGAGACGGAGCCAUUCUGAAAUCUCGUAAGUCGAAACCCGAACUCUAAUGUCUUUAAUUCCUCCUUGCGUGUUAUGCGGGCGCUGGGUAAAGUUACCUUGGUUUAAAUGAGAUGAAGAUAUUCAUGUAACUUGCCGAAUUUCUCAGAACUUCAUUCAAAUUAAGCUAUAUUCAUGAAAUUUUUAUCGACA